rnacentral:rRNA from 1 species
AUGGCGACGUCGGUGCAGUGGACAGAUCUCCCUAACGAUCUCCUCCACGUGCUCUUUGUUAGGGUCGGAGGCUUGCUCCACCGCGUCCGCUUUGCCGCGGUUUGCAGGCCAUGGCGGGCCGCCGCGAGGCACGCCGGGCUGCCCACCCUGCCGUGGCUCAUCUUCAACUAUGGCCUGGACGACAAGUACUGCAACAUGAGGAGGGUAUACUGCCCCGAGGACGACGGAUUCCUACACUUCCCGCUGCCCAAGGCGCUCAUCGGCAAGACGUUUGCGGGAGCGCACGACGGCGGCUGGGUCGCUGCGCUUGGCGAUGACACACAUCUUGCGAUCGUGAACCUCUUCUCCGGCGCCGAGGUGCCUCUCCAUGCAAAGGACAUGACGACAUUCUACGCGUACAAGAAGGUUAUAUUCUCAGAGUCCCCCACCUCAAGUGGCUGCAUCCUCGCCACCAUCACCACCCGAGCUAGUGUCGCCCUCUGCAGGAUUGGUUGUCCAGCCAAAAGAUGGACGGCCAAAAUAUUUAAUGGGCCACGGCUUAUGGACAUUGUAUUCUACAAUGGAAAACUCUAUGCCCUCACCAACUUGGAGGACCUGAUCAAAUUCAAAAUAGGUGUAAACAAAGAUGGCCGGCCGGUGGUAACUGUCGAGCUGCAUAUGCAAAUUGGUAGCCAACCUCUCAGGCGGGCAAUUAACAUUGUUGAGUUGCACGGCAAGCUGGCUAUGGUGGUGAAACAUUGUUUUUAUGACAACACCUACCGCAAGCGCUUCUUUUUCAAAAUUUAUGUGCUUGUUGAGAAGCCGACUAAAGAGAACACUCUCACCCUCGAGUCGGAGGAGGUAACAACCUUGGGUGAUUGCGCCUUGUUUUUUGGGAGAAUGUGGACCAAGGCGUUGUGUGUGCCGGCGGCUGGGUGCGGUGGGGUGCAAAGAGGUGCCAUCUACGCCGACGAUGUGACGUACUUGACGAGUUUCGACGGCCAUGGUGAUUGUGUAUUUCCUAUGGGAAACGAAAGGAGUGAGCACGCCAUCAAAUUUGUAGGACCUUAUUCAUGUUGUCACGUUCCAUGUGGCAUGAGGCCGUACGCCUUGUUCCUCCUCCUCCUGCUCCUCUUCGUAAACCUUUUUCCUCGGGCGGCCAUGGGUUAUCCGUGCGAGCAAGCACUCGCGAUUACAAUGCCAUGCACGGGAGGUGCAGCAAUUCCUGAUGACAUCCUGCUCCACAUCUUCAUGCGCUUGCCGGCGAGGUCGAUCGGCCGCUGCCGCUGCCUCUCGCGCGCCUGGGCCGCCACGCUCGCUCCCUCGGAUGACUUCACCGACCGCCACUUCCGCGCCGCCAACCGCCUCCCCAGCCUCUUCAUCCUCCCAGUCCCCUCCGCAGGCGUCACCAUCGUGCACGCCUGGUCUCCCGACCAGCCCCGUGGCACAUCGCUCGUUGCCUUCCCGCGCCGCCCCAUGCGCAACGCCGGCACCCGUCCCUGCCGGGGCCUUGUGGUCAUGGAGGAGGAGUAUCCGCCCGCUAGGGCGGGUGACGGAGCCGUCUACUAUGUCUGGAACCCGUCCACCGGUCAGAUGACGGUGCUACCGAAGGGCCGGCCGUUGCCGCUGCAGCCCAGCGGGUAUGCGGCCAGGGAUCCCAAGUGCUACGACAACUUCGGGAUUGGCUACGACGAGGUGAGCGGCAGGUUCAAGGUGGUUCGCCUCUGCCGCUACAACGAGUAUCUCAAUGCGGAUUGCGACGUCUACGUGGUCGACGACGCGUUCUGUUGGCGACCGGCGGCGGGCGAUGCCGAGCUACCGGAGGAGGCUGGAUACAUAAGUUCGUACGAGGCGAGCGUGUCCGCGCAGGGUCACCUUUCUUGGAUGUCUGAGGCGGAGGGCAUGUUCAAGGAGAAGCAUGUUAUCUCCUUCUCCCUCUCUGAUGAGAAAUUCGAGGUGAUCUACGCGCCCCGCUAUAGAGAUUACAGCCUCACGGAGCUUGAGGGACGUGCAUGCCUCUUCUCCUCCAUCUCCGAUGUGGACCAGAAGUGCUACGACAUCUGGCUGCUACGUGACAACGAGGCGUGGGACCUGUGCUGCCGCAUUGACCUGGCCUCGGCGACCCCGGAGGUGAGGCGGUUCAUGGCUUGCCGGGUCAGGCCACUCGCAUUCAUCGACGGUGGCCGCCGCAUCAUGUUCUGGCCGGGGGUCCAAUCCACGAAGGACUCUAAGCCCGUCCACCAGCUCUGCACUUACAUCCCUGCCAGCGGGGCCAUUGAGGAGCUCCUUGCCGACGGGUGCCUGGUCGCCCAGCCCAGCGAGAACGGCCAUGCAACAUCAAGGGCACUGGUGUACGAGGAGAGCCUGAUCUCCACGGGGCGGCCACACGAGGACAUCCUCUUCUCGUCGGCGUCAACACGCGCCCUGUGCAUAGCCCUGCAACGUCUGCCAGCGGCCAUCCUCGGGCAGCUCAAGCUAAUUAAGGAGAGGCCCCUGGUAAAUGGCUUGGCAAAUGCAUAUAUCAUACGGGGUCACCAAGGAUGCUCUAGAUCUGGUAAUGGAACUGCAAAUAGGAGUGGCAGCGGCAACCAUGAUGCAAGUGCAAGUGGUUCCCAAAGAUCUUGGAAAGAAAUGCCACAUGAAGAACUAAGGAUAUCAAGAUGCUUUUGGAUGUAUGCAAGCUUGGAGCUGCUGUUUUAUAGUAGGACCGGCAUGGGGUACGACGAGGUGACGGAGGAGCAUGUCCUGGUCACUAUGGUCAAUGCUAGCCAUGGAUGUAGCGGGGCAAUGGAAUGCCACCUGUGGCAGCUCAAGGAAGACGUGAGGAGAAUAGUGCCAUCACCAUUGUUGAUCCGUGUGCGGCUUGAAUUGCCGCCGAUCUACGUCAAUGGCAAGAUGUACUGGAUGGGCGAGCCGUCGGAUCAGGACAACCAGAGCACCGACAGUUGGCAUGACAUGAUCAUGGCCCUUGACAUCCACACCGAGUCUUUCGAGGUGUUGUCGGUGCCACACGUCGAUGACAGCUGCAGGAUGCUCGUGGUGGAGCUUGCCGGGCGGCUCUGCGUGGCGCACCCAUGUGCCCACACAGAGAGCAUGACCAUAUGGAGCAAGAACAACAAGCCGGAGCUGGUCGACAACAAAUGCAGUGACGAGGGAUGGGAGGAAGGAUGGACAAGGGAGCAUGUGAUAGAGCUCUGGCGUUGGCCGGAGUUUUCCCCGAAGACAGCGGCAGGGCUGAUUGUUCCGAUAGAGGUCGAUGCCGUGGGGGAUGGGCAGAUCUUGCUGGACACGGGGAGAGAGGUGGGGCUGUAUGAUCUGAGGGAGCAAACGAUGCACACGGUGUACUCACUCAAGUGGCGGCAUGGUGAGCGCGCCGGCAAGUUCGUUGCGGUGGCGCAGUGGGAGGACAGCAUGGUGCCUCCUCCACCCAUGCGAUGCGAACCGGAGCGGUGGUACAGAGACUGGACCGAUCUUCCUGAUGAUCUCCUCCAUCUCGUCUACCUCAAGGUCGGCGGCUUGCUCCACCGCCUACGCUUCGCUGCGGUAUCUAGGUCAUGGCGAGCCGCUGCGAUCGCAUCGAAGCACGCCGUGCCGCCCACCCUGCCAUGGCUGCUCUUCUCCUCCUUACACGGUGACGAUGGCAAGACAAUGCGCCUAUACUACCCCGAGGACGGAGGGGUCCUGCACAUCCGGCCCAAAAACGAGGCGCUCAUCGGCAAGCGGCUAGUCGGAGCACACGACGGCGGCUGGGUCGCCGCGCUUGGGGAUGACAUGCAACUUGUGGUUGUGAACCUCUUCUCCGGUGUUGAGGUGCCGCUUCACGCAAAGAACAUGAGGAAGGUCUACACGGGCGCGAAGAUUGUCUUCUCGGAAUCCCCCAAGUCAGGUGAGUGCAUCCUCGCCACCAUCACCCCCCGAAGAAGCGUCGCCCUAUGCAAGAUUGGUUGUCGAGCCGACAGAUGGACGGCAAAAAUAUUUAGCGGGCCCAUGCUUGCGGACAUUAUAUUCUACAAUGGAAAACUCUAUGGCCUCACCCGCUCCUACAACCUGAUCAAAUUCAACAUAGGCUUGAACAAACACGGCAGACCGGUGGCCACCAUUGACGUCGAGCUGCAUAUCCGGAUUGGUUCCCAACCUUCUUUUGUAUGUCAUAAAAGCAUUGUUGAGCUGCAUGGUACGCUGGCGUUGGUGUUGAGGAUAAAUCCAUCAUAUGGCACCAAGUGUGAGCCUUUCUUCAAGGUUUUCGUGCUUGCUGACGAAUCAAUGACAAAGUACACUCAUAAGUGGGAGGAGGUAACGAGCUUGGAUGACUGCGCCUUGUUUUUGGGGAAAAUGUCCAAGGCGGUUGACGUGCGAGCGGUUGGACGUGGCGGGGUGGAGAGAGGCCACAUUUACGCAGAUGAUAUGACGUACUUGACAAGUUUGGAUGGCCAUGGUAGCCGUGUAUACCCUAUGCAAGACGAAAGUAUUUACAACGUCCCACGGAGGAUCAAAUCAGCAGGAUCUUAUGUAGCUGCCGGUGCUCCAACUGGCAUGUGGGUACUCCCUCCUGAUAUCUAG